AUUUUUAAAUGGUAAAAUUUUCUUUAUUUCUUUUGAAAGAUUUGGCUAGAGUUAGUGGGUCAGUAGUGCAUUAGUGGUACACACCCAUACAUACACACGUUAAUAAGCUAGUUUGGCUGAAGCUUUGUAUACGGACGAUUGGCGAAUUAGUUUGGGCUCAGCCCAAAGUACGCACACACGCAACCCAGCCUUCACGCGCACACGCACAUGCACACGCAUGUGACACUUAUCUUGAUUCCCCUUUCUUUGCGAUGCCGACGAUGCUACUCCGGCCAGCCGCCGGCCAACUCCGGCGCUGCCGCUCGCUGGCGCUGCUCCGCCACCAUCUCGUCUUUCUCCUCCACCAAAUAACCCUCGCCGAGAUGCCCCUAUCACCCACGUUCGCUCCCAAGGCUAACCCUAGUCCGGCUUCAAUUCCGGCUGUCGCCGGCCGAUUCCAGCGCCGCCGCCGGUCGGUGAACCUCGGGCUCGUCCUCCACCGCUAUCUCUCCUUCACAGCGCCGCCUCCCUGCACCUGCUUGCGCCCCUGCGGCUAACCCUAGCUGCGGGUCGGCAUGGUCGCCGUCGGCUGCUACCGACUGCGGCGCCUCCGGCUGCUCCCCUCCGUCGACACGGACACUUUAACGUUGACUACGCCUCUUCAUCGUUUUACCUCGACCAUCUCCAGAGCCCCAGCUUGACCUGGCCAUGCUCGGCCCUUCGCUGGUCUCUCCGAUGGUGUGGAAUGUGGUCAUGGUACCGCUGGCGAGAUUGCUACGGUGACAUUUUAAUGGCGUUGCUGUGGUUGUGAUGGUGUUAUGUGGUGGUGUUGGUGCUGCUGGUGAGGUUGAACUCCUCGCCAACGCUAGCGGAACAGUGCUGCAAUGCAACCCUGGCGUCAUCUCCUGUCGGCUGUUGCUGAUGUUGAUGCUACCAUUCUGCUACAUUAACCUCAACGCCGUUGCCUCGUCGUGGCACCCUGCAGGCAAGGAAAGAUAAUGAGAAGAUUGGGAUCAAGAUUAGAAUAGGAUCUUUUUAUUUCUUUGAAACUUCUUUUAUUUCUAAUAUUGUAUUAUUUGUAAUUGAAUUUCUUUUAUGGGACUUGUAAAUUAUGAUUUAGUAAUUAUAGAUGUAAUAAUUAUUUGAAUUUCUUAUUUAUUGUGAGUUUGUAUUAUCUACAAACUCAAACAAUGUAUUCUUUUAUGAUUGUUUGGAAUCCAAGUUCAAAUUAUUAUUUGAA